rnacentral:rRNA from 1 species
CAGCCGCCACGGUAAUACGUAGGUGGCAAGCGUUGUCCGGAAUUAUUGGGCGUAAAGGGCUCGCAGGCGGUUUCUUAAGUCUGAUGUGAAAGCCCCCGGCUCAACCGGGGAGGGUCAUUGGAAACUGGGAAACUUGAGUGCAGAAGAGGAGAGUGGAAUUCCACGUGUAGCGGUGAAAUGCGUAGAGAUGUGGAGGAACACCAGUGGCGAAGGCGACUCUCUGGUCUGUAACUGACGCUGAGGAGCGAAAGCGUGGGGAGCGAACAGGAUUAGAUACCCCAGUAGUCCCUGUCUCUUAUAA